rnacentral:rRNA from 1 species
UACGUAGGGGGCUAGCGUUGUCCGGAAUCAUUGGGCGUAAAGAGCGCGUAGGCGGCCAGAUAAGUCCGGUGUGAAAGUCACAGGCUCAACCUGUGAAUGCCGCUGGAAACUGUCUGGCUAGAGUCCGGGAGGGGCGAGUGGAAUUCCUGGUGUAGCGGUGAAAUGCGCAGAUAUCAGGAAGAACACCAGUGGCGAAGGCGGCUCACUGGCCCGGUACUGACGCUGAGGAGCGAAAGCGUGGGGAGCGAACAGG